UUAAUAGUAAUAGCAGUGUAGCGUCUUGUUCGCAUUUAUAGUCUUUGACGAAACAUGCUACGAUGAUAGGCAGAGCACUAGAUUUGACACACAGCCUUUUUCCAUUUACACUUCACAGAUCAGUCUGCUAGCUUCACAGGCAACUCCAUUAAAUAUAAUUUCCACAGCUUUACGCUGACAGCCGCCUUUCUUUUAUCAUAUGUGGAGUUUGUUUGAGAUUCAGGAGUGAUUUGAGCGGAAGUUUUAGCUGUUUGGGAUCUUGCAGGAGCUAAUGUUAGCCUGCUAGCUCUUUAUCUGUUUAUAAAUCUGCGAUCUCAACAACAUGAAGAUCACUGUGGAUUUUGAGGAAUGUCUUAAGGAUUCACCCAGAUUCAGGGCGACGAUCGAGGAGGUGGAGGGUGACGUCUGUGAGCUGGAGUCUAGACUUGAUAAGCUGGUGAAACUGUGCAUCGGAAUGAUAGAUGCUGGAAGGGCGUACAACACGGCCAACAAACAGUUUGUGACUGGCAUUCGUGAGCUGGCGCAGCAGUCUGCCAAAGAUGAUGUCAUAGAGUCGAGUCUUACAAAGUUUGCUGAGAGUCUUCAAGAGAUGAUCAACUAUCACACAAUUCUGUUCGAACAAGCACAACGAUCAAUUAAAUCACAACUUCAGACAUUUGUGCGAGAGGACCUCCGGAGGUUUAAAGAAGCAAAAAAACAGUUCGACAAAGUGAGCGAGGAGAAGGAGGCCGCUCUGGCAAAAAAUGCUCAGGCACCUCGCAACAAACAGCACGAGGUGGAAGAGGCCACCAACAUCCUCAACGCCACACGCAAAUGUUUCCGUCACAUCGUCCUGGACUACGUGAUGCAGAUUAAUGUGCUCCAGUCCAAAAGGCGCUCAGAAAUCCUCAAAUCGAUGCUGUCCUUCAUGUACGCCCACCUGACCUUUUUCCAUCAAGGUUAUGAUCUGUUCAGUGAACUACAACCCCUCAUGAAACACCUGACAGGACAGUUGGAUCAGUUGGUGGUGGAUGCAGCUAAAGAGAAGAAGGACAUGGAAUUGAAACACUCAACUAUACAACAGAAGUUGUUAACAGGGUCUGUCUUCUUUUCCCUGCACUCAUAUGAGGCCGCACUGCAGGACUUUUCGAAUGACGAUACCAAACUGGAGUAUAAUGUUGACGCAGAAAAUGGGAUUGUCAUGGAGGGAUAUCUCUUCAAGAGGGCCAGUAACGCCUUCAAAACAUGGAACAGGACACCACGGACGAUAACUAGGCGAUGGUUUUCGAUUCAAAACAAUCAGCUAGUGUACCAGAAGAAAUUUAAGGAUAAUCCCACUGUCGUGGUGGAAGACUUGCGAUUAUGCACCGUCAAACACUGCGAAGACAUUGAACGACGAUUCUGUUUCGAAGUUGUUUCCCCGACAAAGAGUUGCAUGAUGCAGGCAGACUCCGAGAAGCUCAGGCUGGCCUGGAUCAAAGCCGUCCAAAACAGCAUUGCAACAGCUUUUAGGGACAUAGCAGAGGAUGACGAGAAAAUGGACAGAAAGUCAUCUGCAUCUACAGGCAGUCUGGAGUCGAGCGGUGAUACGCGAGAGAAGACUCUUAAAGGGGACAGCGCGCUGCAGAAGGUUAUGGCCAUCGCGGGUAAUAACACCUGCUGUGAUUGUGGGCAGCCCGACCCGCGCUGGGCCAGCAUUAACCUGGGCAUCACUCUAUGCAUCCAGUGCUCCGGGAUACACAGGAGUCUUGGAGUUCACUUCUCUAAGGUCCGGUCACUCACGCUGGACACAUGGGAGCCUGAGCUGCUUAAGCUGAUGUGUGAGCUGGGAAAUGGUGUCAUUAAUCAGAUAUACGAGGCACGUUGGGAAGAGCUUGGAGCCAGAAAACCACAGCCAGGAGAUCCCCGGCAUGAAAUGGAGGCUUACAUCAAAGCCAAGUAUGUGGAGCGAAGGUUCGUCCAAAGGCGGUCGGAAGAUGAGAUCAGACAGAAAGUUUUAGCACUGAGUAAUCAGGACAAACCUCUCAGUGGCUGCUCAGAUGUUCAGCCUUCAAAAGGACCAGCAUCAUCGAAAACCCGUCCAGCCUCUGGCUCCUCAGCGCACUACGAGUCUCUCUUCUGUGUAGAUGAGCUUGAUUCUCUCUUCUCCUACUUUAACACCUCCGCCAAGCUGCGUAGUUUGAAAAGUUCAGACAGUGAGACACAGAAUCUCGCCGAUGGAGGAAGACAAACACGGAACUUGACCAACGCACAUGACAGGGAAGAAAGUGAGCCUCAGGGCGAAUGUUCGGGUAAAGAUGUCCUGGUGUUCUUUGAGCCGAAGCAGUUGACGCCGGGCCUUCAGCUCUACUGGGCGUCUCUGUCUCGCAGUCUACCUGAUAUGGCCGAAGCUCUCGCUCACGGAGCCGAGGUGAACUGGAUCAACGUGGAUGAUGGGAACCAGACGCCGCUCAUCAUGGCCGUUCAUGGGGGAUCACUGGUUGCAUGUGAAUUCCUGCUCCAGAAUACAGCCAGUGUGAACCUACAGGACAGUCUCGGUAGAGGUCCUUUACAUCAUGCCACCAUAUUGGGACAUACUGGGCAGGUGUGUUUAUUCCUGAAACGGGGAGCCAAUCAGAGCGCAGCGGAUAUAGAGAAUAAAACACCAUUGACGAUCGCAGUGGAGGCGGCAAAUGCUGAUAUUGUCACACUGCUUCGACUGGCCAAGAUGAACGAGGAGAUGCGUGAGUCGGAGGGUCCGUACAGUCAGACAGGUCAAUACAACUCUAACAGCCCUACUGAAAUGCAGUACAGAAAGUGUAUGGAGGAGUUUAUUAGCUUACAGCUCGGAGACUCCUAACACACACACACACACACACACACAUCAACACCAUGAAAGGCUGUAGCAUAUGAACAAGAUCUGUGAAUGUGCAUACACAGCCAGUGGAGCUGAGCUUCAUAUAACCCCAGGAUGGGUUCAUCUAACCUCCUAUUUUAAUCUAAAACGUCUUAUUAACAAACAGUGGGUCAAAAUCUGUUAGCACAGGGACAUGUGCAAUAAAUACAGUAGUUUUUUUUUAUUUGAUGUGAGAUCGUGUUCAACACAUAUGCCUUAUUGAUCAUAUGUUUUCUGCUUAUAAUGGUGGUGUAUUGGAAGUCAAGUUGAAUGAGUGUACAGUUUAAGCAUAUUUAUGAUCAUUCUGCCAUUGGGCAAAAAUCUCAGUUUAAGAUUUGUGUCUUUUUCACGAAUGUAUUUGAACUGGCCACAUGCCACAAUAAGUUAAAACAUAAUUUAAUGACAAAAAGGGAAAUUUAUUGAAUUAACAUUCAAAUAAUUUUACAGAUAAUAACAGUCUGGAAAUCCAAAAAAUAUGAAAUAUAGUGAAAUAUGCUGGAUCACAAAACCAGUCUUGCGUAGCUCGUGAACAUUUUUAGUAAAUUAAAGUAGUUAUUUUAUGCCAAAAAUCAUUCGGAAAUGAAGUAAAGAUCAAGUUCCAUGAAGAUAUUUUGUAAAUUUCCUACCUUAAAUAUAUAAAAACUUUAUUUUUGUGAGUGGGUGGCCUGCCACAGUGCCCCGAUUAACAACUUCGAAGGCAAUUUUCUUAAUAUCUCGAUUUUUUUUGCACUCUCUGUUUUAAACGGUUGUAUCUCAGCCAGACAUUGUCCUAUUCAAACAACUCGUACAUCAAUAGAAAUCUUAUUUAUUCAUCUUUUUCUCAAUUUCAAAUAAUUAACCGAUAAGGUUUUGUUGUCCACAUAUAUAUAUAAAUUAUAUACAGAAUUUUUAUGGUCAUAAGUCAUUAAGUUUACAUUUAAAUACGUUACAACAUGUUUUGUAAACUUUCAAACAACACUAUUCGAGUUUUGUCUUGACAAACUGUUUUAGUUACUGUUUUGAUGAUUUCUAGUUAAUAUGUAAUUUGUGUAAAAUUGCCAUUUAAAAUUUGUUUUAAUUCUACUUGAUUUGCUACCUCAUAUCAAUGUAAUACUAAUUUAGGAAUUGAAUUAGAAUUUAAAAAGCAAUCACAAUUCAAUUCUGAGUGGCACAGAAGUCUUUCCAGCACAUUCCUGAUAUAUAAUUUCAUUAGAUUUGUUAACAUCAGACCAGAGAUCAUUGCAUUUACCCGAGAAUAAAAAUUAUGAAUGCAUAACAGGGUUAACCAAUUUAAAGCGGUGAUAAUUGUAUAGACUAUUUUAUGUAGCAGACAUAUGGAGAUUUUAAUGAUUUUAAGUCAAGAAUUUUAUUUAACAAAAAAACAUUGAUGAAGACGUCUGCAUGAAUUAUAUUUGUAGAAUUAUAUGUAGUAUAUAUUUUUAAUGAAAUGUGCAAUGAACUUGUUAGAAUUUUUACGUUAAUCGGAGUUUAUUUAGAUAUAAAUAUUUCAAAAGCAAAACAAUAAUAAAAAAAGAAAUGUCAGAAUAUUAAGUAUACAUAUGUGUAUCUAUGUAAUACAUUUUUGGUUAUUUAAUAAAGGUGCCAUAUUGGGUGAGGUCUGUUUAAAAUGUUUGCUUUAUACUACAGAUACAUUUGUAUUAUUAUUUUAGAGUUGGAAUACUAGUUGUAGACACAGAGGGGCACAAUAAAGCAGGACUCAUGUCAGCCGCUCACCAGACAUGUGUAUAAACAUACAAAAGCUAGUCUCAGGUUUCAUGAAUAUCAACAUUAAAAAGCCCUUUGUAAAGCUGGCAGAAUUAUUCAUUGUAUUGAUGCACAUUGUAUUGAAAUGGACGUAUAAUAGUUAUUCACCGUAUGUAAUUCUGCAAUGCACUGUUGUACAGUAUAUGUUGUAUAUUUCUGAGCACCUUUUUUUUCUAUUUCCAAUCUCACAGCCUGUAAGAAACAGGCAAAAAUCAUGUUUUAAAAGAGCCUUGAUAGAAGUUAAGCUGUACUGUGUCGGUAGCAUAUAACUGAUGAAAAGUUCUCUAAAAUCUUCACAACACUUGUCACUCUCUUGAAUGUUUUAAGGUGUUUGAAUGUAAAAUGUAGCCAGAGAGAUCAAAUAUAAUAUAUUGUUUUUAUUAUAUAUUUUAUUUAUUUGAUGUCACAUUCUUUUCAACUCUGCAAACAUCUGCAUUUCUUUCUUUUCUGCUGCAUUUUCCUGCUGUCUUCUGAGUUUCUCUAAUGAAGUUCUUCAGGUGAUGAAACCUAUCAGGACAUUUUCCAAGACUUCUCGCAAAUGGCAUCAAAUGAUCCAGAUAAACUCAACCGCUUCACAUAAAUUCAGUUUAGGUAACAUGAUUAAUGCCGAAAUUCCAUUGUUUUAUUGGAUUACUUACAGAAUAUUGGCCAUUAUAUCAAGUAUAAAAUGUAUUCAUCUGAAGGUAAUCUUUCUAUUAUGCAAAGUGUUGUUUUUAAUGUCAAAUACCCUUCCUGGUAUAAUUAAAUAUAUGAGACGUCUUUUUGUCAUGAAAUCAAUCUUAUUUGCCCAAAUUAUAUUGCACUCACAGUCUCAUUGUAGCAGGCUGUGUUUUUGUCUAAGAUUGUAAAUGCUGAUCAAAUGUUCCAUGUAGAGUUUAUAACUGGGUUUCUCUAUACGUGAACAGUGAAUAAUGGGAGUAUUUGUUGUGGGAGUUUAUGGGCACCAUUCAUGAAACACAAUGACACAUUUUUAUGUUUGUAAAAUCAUUUACUGUUAACUUGCACAAAUCUCUGGUGUGAUUGUGAACGGAAACUGAUUUUUAUUGAGCAAAUAUGGGUCAAAUAUGGAAUACAAUUAGCUGUUAGCCUGACUGUAGUUGACAUAACAGUGUACAUAAAAAUAUUUUCAAAAAAACAAUGCAUUUAUUUCGUUGUUUCGUGCAUGUUUUUAUUUUUCAAUAAUCGUUGUUUAAUUUGAGGUUUCAAGACAUUUUUGAAAGAGAAUAAAAAUCUUGCCUAAUGUUUUUA